rnacentral:rRNA from 1 species
UACGUAGGUGACAAGCGUUGUCCGGAUUUACUGGGCGUAAAGAGCGCGCAGGCGGUCGACCAAGUCGAGUGUGAAAGCCCCCGGCUCAACUGGGGAGGGUCAUUCGAUACUGAUCGACUCGAAGGCAGGAGAGGGUAGUGGAAUUCCCGGUGUAGUGGUGAAAUGCGUAGAUAUCGGGAGGAACACCAGUGGCGAAGGCGACUACCUGGCCUGUUCUUGACGCUGAGGCGCGAAAGCUAGGGAGCAACGGG